rnacentral:rRNA from 1 species
UUUACCUGGUUGAUCCUGCCAGUAGUCAUAUGCUUGUCUCAAAGAUUAAGCCAUGCAUGUCUAAGUACAGGCCGAAACAAGGCGAAACCGCGAAUGGCUCAUUAAAUCAGUUAUGGUUCAUUGGAUCUUACCUUGUUUUACUUGGAUAACUGUGGUAAUUCUAGAGCUAAUACGUGAUACCCCAGCUCCGACCGCAAGGAAAGAGCGCUUUUAUUAGAUCAAAACCAAUCGGGCUUCGGUCCGUUCUCACUGUGGUGACUCUGAAUAACUUUGAGCUGAGCGCAUGGUCUUCGAACCGGCGCCAUAUCCUUCAAGUGUCUGCCUUAUCAGCUUUCGAUUGUAGGUUAUGCGCCUACAAUGGCUAUAACGGGUAACGGGGAAUCAGGGUUCGAUUCCGGAGAGGGAGCCUGAGAAACGGCUACCACAUCUAAGGAAGGCAGCAGGCACGCAAAUUACCCACUCCCGGCCCGGGGAGGUAGUGACGAAAAAUAACGAUGCGGGACUCUUCCGAGGCCUCGCAAUCGGAAUGAGCACACUUUAAAUCCUUUAACGAGGAUCUAUUGGAGGGCAAGUCUGGUGCCAGCAGCCGCGGUAAUUCCAGCUCCAAUAGCGUAUAUUAAAGUUGCUGCGGUUAAAAAGCUCGUAGUUGGAUCUCAGUUCCGGACCGACGGUUCACCGCCCGGUGCUUACUGUCGGCUUCCGAACAGCCGCACGCCGGCUCGGCCAGGGUGCUCUUCAUCGAGUGUCCUGGUUUCGGCCGGCACGUUUACUUUGAAAAAAUUAGAGUGCUCAGCGCAGGCUGCAACGCCUGAAUAAUCUGUGCAUGGAAUAAUGGAAUAGGACCUCGGUUCUAUUUUGUUGGUUUUCGGAACCCGAGGUAAUGAUUAAUAGGAACUGUCGGGGGCAUUCGUAUUGCGACGUUAGAGGUGAAAUUCUUGGAUCGUCGCAAGACGGACUACUGCGAAAGCAUUUGCCAAGAAUGUUUUCAUUAAUCAAGAACGAAAGUUAGAGGUUCGAAGGCGAUCAGAUACCGCCCUAGUUCUAACCAUAAACGAUGCCAACCAGCGAUCCGCCGGCGUUAUUCCCAUGACUCGGCGGGCAGCUUCCGGGAAACCAAAGUCUCUGGGUUCCGGGGGAAGUAUGGUUGCAAAGCUGAAACUUAAAGGAAUUGACGGAAGGGCACCACCAGGAGUGGAGCCUGCGGCUUAAUUUGACUCAACACGGGGAACCUCACCAGGCCCGGACACCGGAAGGAUUGACAGAUUGAGAGCUCUUUCUCGAUUCGGUGGGUGGGGGUGCAUGGCCGUU